GCCCGGGUGGCGAAACUGGCUAGACGCACUACCUUGAGGUGGUAACGCCCUAUAUGGGCAUGGAGGUUCGAAUCCUCUCCCGGGCA
rnacentral:tRNA from 1 species